AGCUGAUUUUGGCAGGCCCCCAGAAUUGACAACACAAAAGCGAAAGAUUCCGGGAGAUGUCUGCUCCAGUGAGGGCGUAACAACCGAGGCCUAGGAAGACACUUUCAAGGAACUAUAGCUGUCUGCUGAAAUUUGUACCAUUAAACUGACGUAAGGCCCAGUUGGCAGCUGUAGACGUUGUAUGUUUAAAUGAUGUGAGCAGGGUGGGCAAUCUAGCGUUAAUGCAACCAUGUAAAUAGCC